rnacentral:lncRNA from 1 species
GGCUCAGUCACCUGCAAACACAGUGAUUGCUCUAUAGUAAAGCCAUUGCUGCCAGGCAGAGCUGGGCAUAGCAGCGAUCCAAAUCUGGGCAUAGAGUUCAGUGGUAGAGCGGAGCUCUCCAUGUGGGAGGAUCCAUACCAGCUACACUCUAAUAUUGGACAAAGGAAAGGAAAAGGCAAGCAGGACACAUCCACCCAAGGUCAACAGCUAAAUUGGUGGCUGAUGCAACGCUCUGUCAUGCCUCAGAGUUUUUGAAUGAGCUGUUUCUGAUUCCGGGAUGCCAGCCUUCCUCCACUGCGCAGGUUCCUGCUGGACCUACAGUACCUCUCCUUCCUCCUCCCUGGACUAAGUAUUAAGCCAGCUCAGAGAUUGGCCUCCUCGUGAAGCGUGUCUAGUCCCUCUUGGCUCCUGUUUCCUGGAAGGAUUUGACUACAGCACCUGUACUACGGAACUACAGCAGGAGGUUGUGAACCACUUGAAUUUACUCCCUGGUGUGUCCCUUGCUGGGAAGGAAGAACUCGGGCAGCAUUUUCAGAGGGAAGUCUGGGAAUUUUUGUUGACAUCUGUGAAUAAGUUAUUUGGCUCAGCAAUGCCACAUGGCAAGAGCUGUUGGUUUCCGUUGUUUAACACAUCUACUGUUUAAAUCAGUACUUCAGGCUCCUUGGGUACAGCAGAGAUGGAAAUGGACACAAAUCCUUCGCUUUGGGACAGUGGCAGUGUGCUUGCACAAAGCAUUGUGUAUUGUCCAGCCUGAGCCAGAUUUCCCGCUGCUGUGGUCCUAGUGAGAUUCUACAAACCAAGCUUUCUCGUUAAUGAAAGACCAACGUUGUCUUUGCUUGGCAAGGGAAAGCCAGGGCGGCCUGUGAGUCUCCUCUGUCUGCCAGGCUGGAACCUGUUUUCCCUGGCUCUCUGAGAGUUCCCUGUUCCUGUUCGGAUUGUUUCUUAGAAGGAAAUUACCUCUAGAAUAAAGUCAAGUUUAAGAGUCCGU